rnacentral:rRNA from 1 species
ACGCUGGCGGCAGGCCUAACACAUGCAAGUCGAGCGGUAGAGAGAAGCUUGCUUCUCUUGAGAGCGGCGGACGGGUGAGUAAUGCCUAGGAAUCUGCCUGGUAGUGGGGGACAACGUUCGGAAACGGACGCUAAUACCGCAUACGUCCUACGGGAGAAAGCAGGGGACCUUCGGGCCUUGCGCUAUCAGAUGAGCCUAGGUCGGAUUAGCUAGUUGGUGGGGUAAUGGCUCACCAAGGCGACGAUCCGUAACUGGUCUGAGAGGAUGAUCAGUCACACUGGAACUGAGACACGGUCCAGACUCCUACGGGAGGCAGCAGUGGGGAAUAUUGGACAAUGGGCGAAAGCCUGAUCCAGCCAUGCCGCGUGUGUGAAGAAGGUCUUCGGAUUGUAAAGCACUUUAAGUUGGGAGGAAGGGUUGUAGAUUAAUACUCUGCAAUUUUGACGUUACCGACAGAAUAAGCACCGGCUAACUCUGUGCCAGCAGCCGCGGUAAUACAGAGGGUGCAAGCGUUAAUCGGAAUUACUGGGCGUAAAGCGCGCGUAGGUGGUUAGUUAAGUUGGAUGUGAAAUCCCCGGGCUCAACCUGGGAACUGCAUUCAAAACUGACUGACUAGAGUAUGGUAGAGGGUGGUGGAAUUUCCUGUGUAGCGGUGAAAUGCGUAGAUAUAGGAAGGAACACCAGUGGCGAAGGCGACCACCUGGACUGAUACUGACACUGAGGUGCGAAAGCGUGGGGAGCAAAC